AUAAAUGUGUAGUUCUGAAUAAACAGACUCAUAACCUUGACUCAGUAGAUUGUAAGGCGGAUACCGGAUGUCCCUCACAGACGUAUCUUUUCUCCGAAGUGUGGCGAUAUAAAAUUUGUUUUGAAAAUUUUUAUGGAAUAACAAAAACUCUGGCAGAUAAAACUACCCCAGCAAUCAUCAUUGUUGACGCAAGAACCACGUCAUCCCAGACAGAGGCAAAAGUGCAAGGAAAUACAACAUUGAUUUUUUUUGAACCAGACGCGGAACCAGGGGAUUCCGGAUUGAUAAUUGGUGUUGUUUUGGCGAUUCCUCUAAUCCUCAUUUGCUCGCUGGUUGUUGUGUUCAUCUUGGAUAAACGAUUCAAAUGGGGACUUAUGAAGAGAUUAAGGUCGCGUGU